UACAGAGGUCCCAAGCGUUGUUCGGAUUCACUGGGCGUAAAGGGUGCGUAGGCGGUCGGGUAAGUCUGAUGUGAAAUCUCACAGCUUAACUGUGAAACUGCAUUGGAUACUAUCCGGCUUGAGGAAUGGAGGGGAGACUGGAAUACUUGGUGUAGCAGUGAAAUGCGUAGAUAUCAAGUGGAACACCAGUGGCGAAGGCGGGUCUCUGGGCAGUAACUGACGCUGAGGAGCGAAAGCGUGGGGAGCGAACAGG
rnacentral:rRNA from 1 species